rnacentral:misc_RNA from 1 species
GGAAGACGCCCCACAUCUCUAGGUGGAAGAUGCCCCACAUCUCUUGGCGGAAGAUGCCCCAUCCUUUCUUCCGGGCGAGGAUAAUAGCCAUAAUAAUCCAAGCCACCGCCAACCUCGGGGUAGUCGGGGCGAGGGCGCUUCGCCGGUACCGGGAGUGGGGCAGUGGGUGCCUGGUCGCGGGGAUCGACGGCGUACCUCCAGUAGCCGUCGGCGGCCAUGGAUGCGAUUUCGAUUGGGAAAGGGGGAGGAUGAGCGAGCAAAACCCUC